AAAUAACAAAUAGUGAACAAUAGAGAGAAAAAAUGGGAAGAAGAAGAACAGAGACUGCAUUGAUUUUGAUUCUGAUCUAUUCAUCUAUGCUGCCUUUUUCAUUUGCUUUCAAACAACUCUCCCUAACAGACAACAGUAAGCACCAAGAAAGUGAGCAUAUGGAAAAGCAAUAUGGUAGAAGAUACAAUAUAGAGGGUCGACAUGGUUAUACAGAUGGGAUCCCAGAACAUAUAGCAAUUACCCACAGUGAAGGAAGAGGCGGCGUCGGGGUCAGCGUAGGAGGUAACGGUGCCGCAGGAAUUCACGAUCAAAACUGCAUGAAGUUUAUAGCUGCUGCAGUUUCCAUAUCAGUUGCAUAUUUGUGUGGACUUAUUUGAUUUGUGAUAUCAACAAUAAUGCAUAUCCAAAAACAAUAUAUAUAUAUAUCAAAUAUUAGUGUGGAAAUUAAUAAGUUGUUCGAUGUUUUUGAUCAAAAGAAUUAUCACAGUAAUGGGAUGUUUUUGUUUGAUUGAAUAUAUAUAUGUAAAAUUUGUGGUAAACUAUAGUGAUUAAGGAGUUGUUUGUUUUGCAAUUUCAGAAGGGUUUUGUAAAAGUAUGUGUUUAGAUUAUUGUACAGAUUCAAUCGAUUUUAAUGAACUUAUAUUUUGAUGUAAAAAAGAGUGUAUUAGUGUGACCAUAAAGCCUGGAUUGAUCAAAUCUAAAAAAGAGUGUAUUAGUGUGACCAUAAAGCCUGGAUUGAUCAAAUCUCCCUAAAAGUUGUGAUACUAAGAAAAGAACGUCCUUAUAUUGUAUUUU